rnacentral:rRNA from 1 species
GGACCCGCACAAGCGGUGGAGUAUGUGGUUUAAUUCGAUGCAACACGAAGAACCUUACCAGGGUUUGAAAUCAUUUCAAAACUCCUUGAAAGAGGAGCCUCCUUCGGGAUGAAAUGACAGGUGGUGCAUGGCUGUCGUCAGCUCGUGUUGUGAAAUGUCGAGUUAAGUCUCGUAACGAGCGCAACCCAUGUCUCUUGUUGCUCACUGAGUGCUUAAGAGAGACUGCCGACCAACAUCGGAGGAAGGUGUGGAUGAUGUCAAGUCAGCAUGCCCCUUACAUCCUGGGCUACACACGUACUACAAUGGUAAGGACAAUGAGCCGCGAUCCUGCGAAGGCUAG